UACGUAGGGAGCAAGCGUUAUCCGGAUUUACUGGGCGUAAAGCGCGCGUAGGCGGCUUUUCAAGUCGAUUGUGAAAUCCCCGGGCUUAACCUGGGAACUGCAGUCGAGACUGUCUAGCUAGAGUAUGGGAGAGGGAAGUGGAAUUUCAGGUGUAGCGGUGAAAUGCGUAGAUAUCUGAAGGAACAUCAGUGGCGAAAGCGACUUCCUGGACCAAUACUGACGCUCAUGUGCGAAAGCGUGGGGAGCAAACAGG
rnacentral:rRNA from 1 species